rnacentral:rRNA from 1 species
UACAGAGGGUGCACGCGUUAAUCGGAAUUACUGGGCGUAAAGGGUGCGUAGGUGGUUUGUUAAGUCAGAUGUGAAAUCCCUGGGCUCAACCUGGGAACUGCAUUUGAUACUGGCAGACUUGAGUCUGGUAGAGGGUAGUGGAAUUCCGCGUGUAGCGGUGAAAUGCGUAGAGAUGCGGAGGAACAUCAGUGGCGAAGGCGGCUACCUGGACCAAGACUGACACUGAGGCACGAAAGCGUGGGGAGCAAACAGG